GAUGAAGAACGCAGCGAAAUGCGAUACUUGGUGUGAAUUGCAGAAUCCCGUGAACCAUCGAGUCUUUGAACGCAAGUUGCGCCCGAAGCCAUUAGGCCGAGGGCACGCCUGCCUGGGCGUCACACGUCGUUGCCCCCCCAUCUACUCCUUCGGGAUUGCGGGGGGCGGAUGAUGGCCUCCCGUGCGCCUCGCCGCGCGGUUGGCAUAAAUGCCAAGUCCUCGGCGACGCACGCCACGACAAUCGGUGGUUGCGAAACCUCGGUUGCCCGUCGUGUGCGGUCGUCGCGCAUCGAGGGCUCGAAAAAAUUGCCGGGUUCCGGCUCGGCUUUCAACGCGACCCCAGGUCAGGCGGGGUUACCCGCUGAAUUUAAGCAUAUCAAUAAGCGAGGA
rnacentral:misc_RNA from 1 species